rnacentral:rRNA from 1 species
UACGUAGGGUGCGAGCGUUGUCCGGAAUUAUUGGGCGUAAAGAGCUCGUAGGCGGUUUGUCACGUCUGCUGUGAAAUCCCGAGGCUCAACCUCGGGCCUGCAGUGGGUACGGGCAGACUGGAGUGCGGUAGGGGAGAAUGGAAUUCCUGGUGUAGCGGUGGAAUGCGCAGAUAUCAGGAGGAACACCGGUGGCGAAGGCGGGUCUCUGGGCCGUUACUGACGCUGAGGAGCGAAAGCAUGGGGAGCGAACAGG